rnacentral:rRNA from 1 species
GUGGGGAAUAUUGGACAAUGGGCGCAAGCCUGAUCCAGCAAUGCCGCGUGAGUGAUGAAGGCCUUAGGGUUGUAAAGCUCUUUUACCCGGGAUGAUAAUGACAGUACCGGGAGAAUAAGCUCCGGCUAACUCCGUGCCAGCAGCCGCGGUAAUACGGAGGGAGCUAGCGUUGUUCGGAAUUACUGGGCGUAAAGCGCGCGUAGGCGGCUGCUCAAGUCAGAGGUGAAAGCCCGGGGCUCAACCCCGGAACUGCCUUUGAAACUAGGUAGCUAGAAUCUUGGAGAGGUCAGUGGAAUUCCGAGUGUAGAGGUGAAAUUCGUAGAUAUUCGGAAGAACACCAGUGGCGAAGGCGACUGACUGGACAAGUAUUGACGCUGAGGUGCGAAAGCGUGGGGAGCAA